GAAAUUAUCGGCUUCAGUUACUACAAUUUAACUGCUGAUUAUAGAGGUACUGAAAUCACUUGCCGAAGCUGUGGUAUUUGUUUUGAGUGUACCAUCAACCAGUGUUGAUUAUUAUCUUUAUGGCAUUGGCUAGAGGUUGUUCAAAAGUUAAGACAGGUCCUCUCCUUUGCACACAGAGACAGCAAUGAAACACUGACUGAUGUAAGGUUUGUAUGUUAAGGGAUGAUGGUAUUCCUGAUGCUUGUCUAAUUGAAUGUGAUGGAUUAGAUCUUGAGUCUUUAUAGUAUACUGUGAGAGGUGUAAAAAUAAUUGCGUUUUUAUGUAAUAUUAGUAUAAUUGUGAUUAGUAUGUUAUUAUUUAUUAUUUCAUAGACUACUCUAUUGUCAUGCAAUUGACCUGUGCUCGCAUAUUGUGUGCACUCCAUGCAGACGUUGUUUUCACUAAUAUUCUCUUAUGUUUAUCCUCGUUAUACCGGUAAUU